ensembl:lncRNA
CCAAAGUCCACUCCCUUCUUUUUGAGUCUUCAGUUUUCUGGAUGGAUGUCUGUUCCUUUUCAGAAUUUCCCGAGGCUGCAGGCUGUGGCUGCUCACUCUUCUGGGGGGUUACUUAGCCGGGACGCAGGUCGAGGAACGCUGGCAGCUGGCAACUGCUUUAGCACUGACUUCUGACCUGCGACAGGUUUCUGUGCUUGUGGAGGGACACGCUGGGAGUUGGAAGGACACAGGACCCACUGGGCCUGGCCACUGCUCGCUGAUCCUGGGUGCUGAGAAGGAAUCUGCUCAGUCACCAAGACUCGUUUCGGACCGAAGGGAACUGUGGUCUUAACAGGCCUGGAGACAGUUUUCUUUACAUCUGUCCAUGUCACCCCGGUGCCACUCAACCUUCGGUUUGCAGCAUCCAGGCUCGUCCUCACCAGCCCGGUCCCCUUCCGACUCACAGAGGAAUCUAGAUUGGGCACCUUGUGGCACAUUGAAGGCCCCUGGGUCUCUGUCAUCUACCGCCACUGCAGGAUCUAUGUCUCGCUCCAAGGGGGCUGUCAAAGAGUCCCAACCCAGACCAGGUACUUAGCUCUGGCUGGCCAGGCACAGACUACGUAGACCAUUCCUUGCAUUCAAAUAUCUGCUUUCCUCCUGAGUCUGGUCUUAAGUACCAGGCCUCACCUGAAGGAUGAUGGUGAUUAAGGACCACAGUAUGGUGCAGCCCCACAUGGGUGACGGAGACCCUCUUACAGAGACCAUCCUCGGUUGCCAACUGAAGCUGCAGCAAGUUCCAGCCAAGGAGGAUUUCCUGGCCUCUGUCCUGCCCACAAUGCCCACCUGCCAGAUAAUAGGAGGGUGAAAGGCUCCUGGUUUGCUACUAGCACCUCUGUAUUGGACAUGCUCUGGAUGUGUCUCUCAGGAGAGAUCUAUAUCCAGUCCCUUUCAGCAUGCAUUUUUUAGCUUCAUCAAUCUUAUCUAGUUUUGGUGGCUGUGUGUGUGUGUGUGUGUGUGUGUGUGUGUGUGUGUGUGUGUGUGUGUGUGUAUGGGCCACAUGUGGGGCAGGC